UACCCGCCGAAUUUAAGCAUAUAAUUAAGCGGAGGAAAAGAA
rnacentral:rRNA from 1 species